AUUGAACGCUGGCGGCAUGCUUUACACAUGCAAGUCGAACGGCAGCGCGGGCUUCGGCCUGGCGGCGAGUGGCGAACGGGCGAGUAAUGCAUCGGAACGUGCCCAGUAGUGGGGGAUAGCCCGGCGACAGCCGGAUUAAUACCGCAUACGACCUGAGGGUGAAAGCGGGGGACCGAAAGGCCUCGCGCUUUUGGAGCGGCCGAUGUCGGAUUAGCUAGUUGGUGGGGUAAAGGCUUACCAAGGCGACGAUCCGUAGCUGGUCUGAGAGGCCGACCAGCCACACUGGGACUGAGACACGGCCCAGACUCCUACGGGAGGCAGCAGUGGGGAAUUUUGGACAAUGGGGGCAACCCUGAUCCAGCCAUGCCGCGUGCGGGAAGAAGGCCUUCGGGUUGUAAACCGCUUUUGUUCGGGAAGAAAUCCUCUGGGCUAAUACCCCGGGGGGAUGACGGUACCGGAAGAAUAAGCACCGGCUAACUACGUG
rnacentral:rRNA from 1 species